rnacentral:rRNA from 1 species
CGAAUGCUGACAUAAGUAACGAUAAAGCGGGUGAAAAGCCCGCUCGCCGGAAGACCAAGGGUUCCUGUCCAACGUUAAUCGGGGCAGGGUGAGUCGACCCCUAAGGCGAGGCCGAAAGGCGUAGUCGAUGGGAAACAGGUUAAUAUUCCUGUACUUGGUGUUACUGCGAAGGGGGGACGGAGAAGGCUAUGUUGGCCGGGCGACGGUUGUCCCGGUUUAAGCGUGUAGGCUGGUUUUCCAGGCAAAUCCGGAAAAUCAAGGCUGAGGCGUGAUGACGAGGCACUACGGUGCUGAAGCAACAAAUGCCCUGCUUCCAGGAAAAGCCUCUAAGCAUCAGGUAACAUCAAAUCGUACCCCAAACCGACACAGGUGGUCAGGUAGAGAAUACCAAGGCGCUUGAGAGAACUCGGGUGAAGGAACUAGGCAAAAUGGUGCCGUAACUUCGGGAGAAGGCACGCUGAUAUGUAGGUGAAGUCCCUCGCGGAUGGAGCUGAAAUCAGUCGAAGAUAUCAGCUGGCUGCAACUGUUUAUUAAAAACACAGCACUGUGCAAACACGAAAGUGGACGUAUACGGUGUGACGCCUGCCCGGUGCCGGAAGGUUAAUUGAUGGGGUUAGCCGCAAGGCGAAGCUCUUGAUCGAAGCCCCGGUAAACGGCGGCCGUAACUAUAACGGUCCUAAGGUAGCGAAAUUCCUUGUCGGGUAAGUUCCGACCUGCACGAAUGGCGUAAUGAUGGCCAGGCUGUCUCCACCCGAGACUCAGUGAAAUUGAACUCGCUGUGAAGAUGCAGUGUACCCGCGGCAAGACGGAAAGACCCCGUGAACCUUUACUAUAGCUUGACACUGAACAUUGAGCCUUGAUGUGUAGGAUAGGUGGGAGGCUUUGAAGUGUGGACGCCAGUCUGCAUGGAGCCGACCUUGAAAUACCACCCUUUAAUGUUUGAUGUUCUAACGUUGACCCGUAAUCCGGGUUGCGGACAGUGUCUGGUGGGUAGUUUGACUGGGGCGGUCUCCUCCUAAAGAGUAACGGAGGAGCACGAAGGUUGGCUAAUCCUGGUCGGACAUCAGGAGGUUAGUGCAAUGGCAUAAGCCAGCUUGACUGCGAGCGUGACGGCGCGAGCAGGUGCGAAAGCAGGUCAUAGUGAUCCGGUGGUUCUGAAUGGAAGGGCCAUCGCUCAACGGAUAAAAGGUACUCCGGGGAUAACAGGCUGAUACCGCCCAAGAGUUCAUAUCGACGGCGGUGUUUGGCACCUCGAUGUCGGCUCAUCACAUCCUGGGGCUGAAGUAGGUCCCAAGGGUAUGGCUGUUCGCCAUUUAAAGUGGUACGCGAGCUGGGUUUAGAACGUCGUGAGACAGUUCGGUCCCUAUCUGCCGUGGGCGCUGGAGAACUGAGGGGGGCUGCUCCUAGUACGAGAGGACCGGAGUGGACGCAUCACUGGUGUUCGGGUUGUCAUGCCAAUGGCACUGCCCGGUAGCUAAAUGCGGAAGAGAUAAGUGCUGAAAGCAUCUAAGCACGAAACUUGCC